rnacentral:rRNA from 1 species
GACGAACCGUGCGAACGUUAUUCGGAAUCACUGGGCUUAAAGCGCGUGUAGGCGGGACGGCACGUCGGUCGCUGAAAGCCCCCGGCUCAACCGGGGAAGUGGCACCGAUACGACCGGCCUGGAGGGACGUAGGGGGACCUGGAACUUCCGGUGGAGCGGUGAAAUGCGUUGAGAUCGGAAGGAACGCCCGUGGCGAAAGCGAGGUCCUGGACGUUUACUGACGCUGAGACGCGAAAGCCAGGGGAGCGAACGGG